UGCUGACCCCCGCCAAGGCCAGG
rnacentral:misc_RNA from 1 species